AGGUGGUGCAUGGUUGUCGUCAGCUCGUGUCGUGAGAUGUUGGGUUAAGUCCCGCAACGAGCGCAACCCUUAAGCUUAGUUGCCAUCAUUAAGUUGGGCACUCUAAGUUGACUGCCGGUGACAAACCGGAGGAAGGUGGGGAUGACGUCAAAUCAUCAUGCCCCUUAUGAUUUGGGCUACACACGUGCUACAAUGGACAAUACAAAGGGUAGCGAAACCGCGAGGUCAAGCAAAUCCCAUAAAGUUGUUCUCAGUUCGGAUUGUAGUCUGCAACUCGACUAUAUGAAGCUGGAAUCGCUAGUAAUCGUAGAUCAGCAUGCUACGGUGAAUACGUUCCCGGGUC
rnacentral:rRNA from 1 species